rnacentral:lncRNA from 1 species
GCGAAGGUGCUGCAAUGCGCUGCCUUGCCACGACAAGUGCCCGUGCUGCAAGUACAGUCAUAACCCCUGUGGAGGGGGAACCGACCCCAUGGAGAACGCAGGGGCUGACGAGCUGCGUUUAAGUAUGCUUUGCUGGUGCUUUUAGCUAUUUCAAAACACACAAGAAGUGGCCCGACGUCACUUGGCCAUAGGCUGCUCUUCCUCAUCUCAAUGAGCAUAGCUCUUGGAACGCUGGCUCCGCCAAAAAACUAGCCAUAAAGUUCAAAGUAAAGUUUUUAAACCAUG